rnacentral:rRNA from 1 species
GAUGAACGCUGGCGGCGUGCCUAAUACAUGCAAGUCGAGCGAACGGACGAGAAGCUUGCUUCUCUGAUGUUAGCGGCGGACGGGUGAGUAACACGUGGAUAACCUACCUAUAAGACUGGGAUAACUUCGGGAAACCGGAGCUAAUACCGGAUAAUAUUUUGAACCGCAUGGUUCAAAAGUGAAAGACGGUCUUGCUGUCACUUAUAGAUGGAUCCGCGCUGCAUUAGCUAGUUGGUAAGGUAACGGCUUACCAAGGCAACGAUGCAUAGCCGACCUGAGAGGGUGAUCGGCCACACUGGAACUGAGACACGGUCCAGACUCCUACGGGAGGCAGCAGUAGGGAAUCUUCCGCAAUGGGCGAAAGCCUGACGGAGCAACGCCGCGUGAGUGAUGAAGGUCUUCGGAUCGUAAAACUCUGUUAUUAGGGAAGAACAUAUGUGUAAGUAACUGUGCACAUCUUGACGGUACCUAAUCAGAAAGCCACGGCUAACUACGUGCCAGCAGCCGCGGUAAUACGUAGGUGGCAAGCGUUAUCCGGAAUUAUUGGGCGUAAAGCGCGCGUAGGCGGUUUUUUAAGUCUGAUGUGAAAGCCCACGGCUCAACCGUGGAGGGUCAUUGGAAACUGGAAAACUUGAGUGCAGAAGAGGAAAGUGGAAUUCCAUGUGUAGCGGUGAAAUGCGCAGAGAUAUGGAGGAACACCAGUGGCGAAGGCGACUUUCUGGUCUGUAACUGACGCUGAUGUGCGAAAGCGUGGGGAUCAAACAGGAUUAGAUACCCUGGUAGUCCACGCCGUAAACGAUGAGUGCUAAGUGUUAGGGGGUUUCCGCCCCUUAGUGCUGCAGCUAACGCAUUAAGCACUCCGCCUGGGGAGUACGACCGCAAGGUUGAAACUCAAAGGAACUGACGGGGACCCGCACAAGCGGUGGAGCAUGUGGUUUAAUUCGAAGCAACGCGAAGAACCUUACCAAAUCUUGACAUCCUUUGACAACUCUAGAGAUAGAGCCUUCCCCUUCGGGGGACAAAGUGACAGGUGGUGCAUGGUUGUCGUCAGCUCGUGUCGUGAGAUGUUGGGUUAAGUCCCGCAACGAGCGCAACCCUUAAGCUUAGUUGCCAUCAUUAAGUUGGGCACUCUAAGUUGACUGCCGGUGACAAACCGGAGGAAGGUGGGGAUGACGUCAAAUCAUCAUGCCCCUUAUGAUUUGGGCUACACACGUGCUACAAUGGACAAUACAAAGGGCAGCGAAACCGCGAGGUCAAGCAAAUCCCAUAAAGUUGUUCUCAGUUCGGAUUGUAGUCUGCAACUCGACUACAUGAAGCUGGAAUCGCUAGUAAUCGUAGAUCAGCAUGCUACGGUGAAUACGUUCCCGGGUCU